rnacentral:lncRNA from 1 species
AGAAGAUGUAACCAAAGAAAAUAAACAAAAUGACAAUAAUACAUAAAUAACAUCAGACUACUAGCAGUUAACUGACAUGCCAGCUCCAGACUUCAAUUAAACUGAUUGAAAAUUAUGUCUUCACCAUAUGAAUAUCAGGCACAAUCCUCCCCGUGAAGGGUUUAGUAUCAUACUAUCAUAACAUAUAUGAGAAGAACAUAACCCUUGUCAUGCCAACAACUGGUUUAUUAAUAAUAAAUGUGUUUAGUUCCGAUGCAAAGACCCUAUAAGUGAAUCAAUAUUAACACCAAAAUAUGCAAUCUUUAAUGACCUG